ensembl:lncRNA
AACAAAUACAAAAACAGCAUGAUUUAAAAUCCACUAUUAUGUGUGAAAUGUUGUACGUCUUGCAUUUUAUAUUAAUACAUCUAAAUUAAAGUUAAACAAAACUGUUUUAAUCAUUAAGAACAGGGACCUCAAACUGUCUGGUUUCGUUUUUUUUUUCGUUUUUUUUUUUCAAAAGAUGCACAGGAACUAACACUAAAAAAGUUUUUUCCCCCUUCCGAUUCAGACAGGCACACGUUUUAUUUUCAUUUUCGAUAGAUAUUGUCGACAGGACUACUUUCUCAAGAAGUUACUACCAGUCCAGGACUAACUUCUUAAGAACUUAAUAAUAAAUAACCUAAAUAGCUAAAUAAACCUAAACAGGGCAGAACACAGAAUUAGAUUAAACAGAGAAAAGAGAUUUAAAACUUCUAGUUUUAGGAAAUCUCAUAUCAUAUUUUUAUUUCCGCCAGAUUUAAAUGUUUUUUUAAGCAGGGCAUGGAAAGUCAGGCUAGCAGCUGAUCCGCCUCCGUGAACUCCGCAAUCCAGGUGUAAGACUUUCCUGCUUCUUCCUCUUUCAUCGAAGCCGCGGUGAGUGACAUCGGCGCGCACUGCGCUCGUGCUUUCUGACCACUCUGGGAUUUACAGGGGAUUUUAUGCACCAUCGUUUUAAUAAGCGCCGACAAUUUACAAGAGACACGACAAUCCGCCUGGCAAAGAGACCAAUCUCUCUCUCACACACACGCACACACUGUCGCUGGCUCUCUCUCUCACACACACACACACACACACACACACACACUCACUCGCUUCAGGCCGGCUGAUCCCGCGGCUUUACGGGUUUAUACUGCUCAGGAAACUCUACUGCAUUUUGGGAUUACACAAAUACCCCUGGACAAUAGGCCAAACUGCUCUCCAAAAAGAGUUUCUUGGUGUUGUGGAUUUUCAGUUUACGGAUCUCAAAGAAAGAAAAAAAAGAGCACAGAAGAGUAAGAGGUAAAGCUAAAUGUUUCAAAUAUGUUUUAAUACCAAUCUAAAUCUAGGCGCACAAUUAAGGCGCACAAUUAAGGUUGU